rnacentral:lncRNA from 1 species
UCAUGGUGUGACUUAUUAAUUUGAUACCCCUAUAGUUGUUGCAACACUGGAUAUCCCCUUUGAUCUUGUACAAGGGCACCACCGUACUUCACCUCCACUCCUCCGGCAUCCUUUUGGUCCUGAAGAUCGCAUUAAACCUAGAGAGCCACUCCACUCCUGACCUACCCAUGCAUUUCCAAAACUACACCAGGAUCUCGUCAGGCCCGGUCGCUCGACCCCUACUCAUCCUACGCAAAGCUCCCAUGAC